UGGGGAAUAUUGCACAAUGGGCGAAAGCCUGAUGCAGCGACGCCGCGUGAGGGAUGACGGCCUUCGGGUUGUAAACCUCUUUCAGCAGGGAAGAAGCUUAAUCGUGACGGUACCUGCAGAAGAAGCACCGGCUAACUACGUGCCAGCAGCCGCGGUAAUACGUAGGGUGCGAGCGUUGUCCGGAAUUAUUGGGCGUAAAGAGCUUGUAGGCGGUUUGUCGCGUCUGCUGUGAAGACUCGGGGCUUAACCCCGAGCCUGCAGUGGGUACGGGCAGACUAGAGUAUGGUAGGGGAGACUGGAAUUCCUGGUGUAGCGGUGGAAUGCGCAGAUAUCAGGAGGAACACCGAUGGCGAAGGCAGGUCUCUGGGCCAUAACUGACGCUGAGAAGCGAAAGCAUGGGGAGCGAACAGGAUUAGAUACCCUGGUAGUCCAUGCCGUAAACGUUGGGCGCUAGGUGUGGGGCUCAUUCCACGAGUUCCGUGCCGCAGCUAACGCAUUAAGCGCCCCGCCUGGGGAGUACGGCCGCAAGGCUAAAACUCAAAGGAAUUGACGGGGGCCCGCACAAGCGGCGGAGCAUGCUGAUUAAUUCGAUGCAACGCGAAGAACCUUACCAAGGCUUGACAUAUACCGGAAACACUCAGAGAUGGGU
rnacentral:rRNA from 1 species